rnacentral:lncRNA from 1 species
CUGUUUCAAUAUACUACUGCAACAGUUUGUCAUCGCAACCCCUCUGAAACCAUAAAACAGAAUUUCAUGAAACUUUGUAGAUAAUAAGGACAUACUACGUAGAUGUGCAUAUCGACAGGAAAUUGUGAUGCAAUUUUUUUAAGAGGUACGUCCCUUUGAACUUAUCUGUUUCAAUAUGCUACUGCAACGGUUUGUCAUCGCAACC